UACGUAGGGUGCAAGCGUUUGUCCGGAAUUAUUGGGCGUAAAGAGCUCGUAGGCGGUCUGUCGCGUCGGCUGUGAAAACCCGGAGCUCAACUCCGGGCCUGCAGUCGAUACGGGCAGACUGGAGUUCGGCAGGGGAGACUGGAAUUCCUGGUGUAGCGGUGAAAUGCGCAGAUAUCAGGAGGAACACCGGUGGCGAAGGCGGGUCUCUGGGCCGAUACUGACGUGAGGAGCGAAAGCGUGGGGAGCGAACAGG
rnacentral:rRNA from 1 species